rnacentral:sRNA from 1 species
UGGAAGUAAAGACAAGGCUAAAACUCACACCCAAAAGAAGUGAUGGCUGCUUCAUGCAAAUGAUUUCCAGUUAGUUAUUAGAAAGGGCACAGAACUCCACUGUAAGCUAGGGCAGUUAUGGGGGGGAAGGGAGGAAAAGGAAGGGGAGAGGGGUCGUUAUCCUAAAUCUUUUAUUGACCGGUUUCUUUGAUCCUAGUGUGUCUUUAUUAUUUAGAAAAAAAAUUAAAAAGUGACCCAGAGCUCCACCCAUUUGCACCUAAAUCCUGGAAUAGGUGAUGACCCCUCACAGCCUGGCUCAGCACAUGCCCCAAACUAAAACAAACAAACUCAUUUGCCAUACAAAUUGUUUACGAUUCAUUAAAAAGCAAAAUCGCAUAACCCAGAGCUGGCAGCUGAGGGAGUCUCCAUGGGCGGAGGGGGCAUUCACUGAGUUGCCUUUGUAUGCUGGGAGGACCAAGCCGGAGGUUCCCACUAUGAGCCGGGAGUCUGAGCAACCAGAUGACACAGGAGAAAACGGAGACCAUCGCAGGAAUCCACAGCUGGACACGAUGCAGGCAUCGACAGAUCUCGGGCAGCUCUACCCCAGUGGCUUCCUCUGCAUCACAUUUACAGCUCUGCAAAAAUCACAGAAGAGGGGAUAGGAAGACUGUAAGAGCGAAACACAAGGAGUUUGGCUGUGAAACAGUCUUUCCUAGAAAUGUCUGCAUAAACGAAAUCUGAACAGUGGCAAUCUCAGCAGUAUAUUGACGUGGAAGAGAAAACCAAACCUCACAGGAUCACAUCCGUGGAUAAGACAACUGAUGACUGCUGGGAAUGAGAGAGUUAUCCUCUAUCAGGGAUGAGCUCUCUGAUCAGCUAUCCAAUACAAACAGUAUCCCUGAAACUGUACCUACACAAACUACAGAACGGACCCAGCAGGUUGUAUUUAUAGAUUUGUGCAAAAAAACCCAUGUAGCAAUAAUAAUGUCACAAGAAGAGGCUAUCAGUCUGAACGUUGUGGCAACUUGGGAGUAGUUAGAGGGAUGAAACAGAGGGGGGAGUGUUAUAAUUAUGUUUUAAUUAAAAUAUAUAAAAAUGUAAAGGAAAACCCUCAAUGAAUUUUGUUUUAUGAGUAGGGCAGAAUUUUUCAUAAUUUCUGAAAUGGAUGUAAACAUACUCCUGCACUUUAUACUAUGUAUUUAUGAAGAACGGUGUUCUCAGAAUUGAUGUAUAAAAAUAAAUAUUGAACCAUUUCGACAAACAUUCAAGAUGUUCUGUGUCCUGUAAUAUCAAACAAUCAGUCAGGAUUCAGGUCCUUAUGUGAACAUUAACAAGCAUGCGCAUGUUAUUAGUAAGUUUUUAAUACACGGUAAAAUGAUAUGUAUAGCAGACAAUUGCCUUAAGUGGUUUUGUAAUAUGGAGUCAGUGAAUAUAUACCUAUUUUCUAGACCUUUACCUCAAUAGUCGUGCAAAACUUUUCAGGUGUAAAGUGGGUGGGGCUGUGAAGUUUAGGAAGCCUUGCUCUUGACUAUCUAUAUGGACAUAAUUAGUAUUUGGGGGUAUAGGUGCUAUUUAUUCCUCAUCUAGCAGGUUUUAAGCUUGUUUUGAAUCAUGUAUGGAUUAGCAUAAACUUAGUGUUACAUUUUUAAGCUCACAGUAUUCUUACACGGUCAUGUUGAAUAAUGUAAGCUUAGGUCCUCGUAUUUCAUUCUCACUAGUCUCAAGGUAUUUUCCAUUUUUUUUUCAUUUAUUCUCUGGCCCAUUGACUACACAAGAGUAAAUUAUUUGAUUUUCGCAUUUAA